UUGUGCUAACUGAACAAUUUGAAACUAUAGGUGUGUGUCACUUAUUAGAAGCUUCUCCAUGAGAAAGAAGAUGUUUGAACAUGAUGGAGUUUGUAAUUUGUAGUUUAUAUUUUAGAGAUUUAUAAUUCCUUGUUUUUCUUGUCCUAUGUAUCUAUCUAGUUCAUUAGGGUUCUUCAAUGUGUCUUGUUAGUUUGUACUUUAAAGUUUAUAUGUUGAAGAUUUAUAAAACAAUCUUAGUUAAAUGAAAGAUAUUUGAACUAUCUAUGUUGUUAUAUAUUAUAUGAAUGCUGACUUGCUGAGUAAA